UACGAAGGGGGCUAGCGUUGCUCGGAAUCACUGGGCGUAAAGGGUGCGUAGGCGGGUCUUUAAGUCAGGGGUGAAAUCCUGGAGCUCAACUCCAGAACUGCCUUUGAUACUGAAGAUCUUGAGUCCGGGAGAGGUGAGUGGAACUGCGAGUGUAGAGGUGAAAUUCGUAGAUAUUCGCAAGAACACCAGUGGCGAAGGCGGCUCACUGGCCCGAUACUGACGCUGAGGCACGAAGGCUAGGGGAGCAAACGGG
rnacentral:rRNA from 1 species